rnacentral:rRNA from 1 species
GUUGAUCCUGCCGGAGGCCACUGCUAUCGGAGUUCGAUUAAGCCAUGCGAGUCGAGAGGUGCAAGACCUCGGCAUACUGCUCAGUAACACGUGGACAACCUAACCUAUGGAGGGGGAUAACCCCGGGAAACUGGGGAUAAUGCCCCAUAGACUAUGGAAGCUGGAAUGCUCUGUAGUUGAAAGGUCCGCCGCCAUAGGAUGGGUCUGCGGCCGAUUAGGUUGUUGUUGGGGUAACGGCCCAACAAGCCUGUAAUCGGUACGGGUUGUGGGAGCCAGAGCCCGGAGAUGGAUUCUGAGACACGAAUCCAGGCCCUACGGGGCGCAGCAGGCGCGAAAACUUUACAAUGCGGGAAACCGUGAUAAGGGAACUCCGAGUGCCCGUAAAAUCGGGCUGUCCAUCUGUUUAAAUAACAGGUGAAGAAAGGGCCGGGCAAGACCGGUGCCAGCCGCCGCGGUAAUACCGGCGGCUCGAGUGGUGGCCACUAUUACUGGGCUUAAAGCGUUCGUAGCUGGUCUGUUAAGUCUCUGGGGAAAUCUACUGGCUUAACCAAUAGACGUUUCAGGGAUACUGGCAGACUAGGGACCGGGAGAGGUGAGAGGUACUCCAGGGGUAGGAGUGAAAUCCUGUAAUCCUUGGGGGACCACCUGUGGCGAAGGCGUCUCACCAGAACGGCUCCGACAGUGAGGGACGAAAGCUGGGGGAGCAAACCGGAUUAGAUACCCGGGUAGUCCCAGCCGUAAACGAUGUGCGUUAGGUGUAUCGAUGACCACGAGUCAUCGAGGUGCCGAAGAGAAAUCGUGAAACGUACCGCCUGGGAAGUACGGUCGCAAGGCUGAAACUUAAAGGAAUUGGCGGGGGAGCACCACAAC